GAUUCUAACAAUCCAGCAAUCAUCAUGCUAAUGUGGGAUGGAUUAAUUAUGUCCUUGGUGGACACCCAAGAUGGAUGCUGCAACUACUUCAUGUCUUGACCUCAAAUUUCUCGGUCACAAAACAAUUUGAGGCCUCCAAAUGCUAUGCAUAUCAAGACACCAGACCCUAAUAAAGAACAUUUAUUAGUCUUCCUUUACCAUAUAGAUGUUCCUGAUGUAUUUCAAUUCAUGAUUGAAAUAUAAAAAGUUAAUGAAGUAUUCAGUUUUCCAGAUUAUUUUAACAAAAAAAAAGUCAGGCCAGGUUAUAGCCAAAUCAGAUUGAUGUUUUG
rnacentral:lncRNA from 1 species